GACGAACGCUGGCGGCGUGCCUAAUACAUGCAAGUCGACCUUAGUGGCGAACGGGUGAGUAACACGUGGGUAACCUGCCCAUCAGAAGGGGAUAACACUUGGAAACAGGUGCUAAUACCGUAUACUGAUGGAUGGACCCGCGGUGCAUUAGCUAGUUGGUGAGGUAACGGCUCACCAAGGCCACGAUGCAUAGCCGACCUGGGAGGUGGCUAGGCCACCUGGGGAUGGAGACGCGGCCCAAACCCCUACGGGAGGCAGCAUGGGGGAAUUUUCGGCAAGGGACGAAAGUCUGACCGAGCAACGCCGCGUGAGUGAAGAAGGUUUUCGGAUCGUAAAACUCUGUUGUUAGAGAAGCGGUAUCUAACCAGAAAGCCACGGCUAACUACGUGCCAGCAGCCGCGUAAUAC
rnacentral:rRNA from 1 species